rnacentral:rRNA from 1 species
UACGGAGGGGGCAAGCGUUAUUCGGAAUUAUUGGGCGUAAAGGGCGCGUAGGCGGCUAGAUGUGUCAAAGGUGAAAUCCCUCGGCUCAACUGAGGAACUGCCUUUGAAACUGUCUGGCUUGAGGCCGGGAGAGGGUAGCGGAAUUCCCAGUGUAGCGGUGAAAUGCGUAGAUAUUGGGAGGAACACCGGUGGCGAAGGCGGGUCUCUGGGCCGAUACUGACGCUGAGGAGCGAAAGCGUGGGGAGCGAACAGG